GGAAAAUGGAAGAGAGUUGGCGUCACCCAAAGUAAACAUGGCGACAAGGACCCACUUGCAAAUCGUUUCGGAGGCAAAGGUGUGCUUUUACUGUGCUGGCAGUGUGACAAAAAGGUCACUGCCAGAUGUAGAAAGUCUGGCUACUUGGAAGCAAAAUAUAAAGAAAUAAGCGUGGUACAAGUCUUUUUAGUUUGGCAGACUAGUGCCAGAUAUCCGGGUAACCAGCAAGAGAAAAAGUGUUUCUAUGUGGAAAAAAAAUCGUCAUUCACAGUUACAGGUUUGACCUUGAGUGUGCAUUUCCACAGUAGAAGUCACAAAGACAAUAUUCCCCACUUUCUUCACCUACUUGUCAUGAAGAGACCAUCAACAUUAUAUCUGUCCUGCUGUAUUUUGUUCUGAAGUGGAAAAAAUGCCCAUACUCUGCUGUCUGCAGAGAUCCAUCCUCCACAUCGGAUAAUCCUUUCUUGAGCCUGAUACGAUAAUGAAGGUCAAGAUCAUCCAUCCUAAUACUAACAGAAAGCAGGUUAAUCAAGAUCAGACUGAAUGUGAUUUGCUGUCGUAAUAGCGUUGGUACCUGGAUUAGCAGAUCCCAAAACAGUGUCCUUCCCUCUAUAGUGGAGCUAAUUGAACCAUCUUGUGCAUUGGCACUCGCUAACGUGUUUGCUUAUCUGUGGAAACAUGUUUGUCAGUAGAUAUGCAUUACUUCAUGUUCAUUAUGGUGAGCAUACCCUAAAAACAUAUAUUGGCUUCUAAUUUUUCUUGCUUCUGGUGAUAUUCCUGGAGGAGUUGUUUUUUCUUUUUUUGGAUAAAUCCAUCAACACAUCCAGUUACAGUCAUAGGGGUCAAGUCAGCUGAUACUGUGAGAGGCAGGGUACAGCUUGGACAGGGUGACUGCCAAUUUCAGAGAGUGACAAGAUCAAAGUUACACAAAAUUCCAAUUAAGACCUACUAAUUAACUUGUCAUAUAGGUCUUUGUUAUGUGGGGUGAACUUCCUGAGAAAACCCUCACAUGCACAGUAAGAACAAUUCCACAGAGGAAGGCCCCAUGCAGGUUCAAACCCACAACCCUCUUAAUGCUGUCGCUUAAUUAAUGAAUAAAUAACUGUUUAGUCAUUGAAUUAAUUAAGUAUUUAAAUGUUUGACAGGCCUGUAAAUGUAUUCCCACUCCCUCUGCUGCUUUACUCCAGCACACCUACAAUAGAUGCUGCACUAAACAUCACACAAAAAUUGUAAUUUAACACUGAGCAGACAAAGCCCCAUUCCUGUGGAUGUGGACAAGAUCACACACUUCAGUGUCUUUCUAGUCCUUAGGGCCAGCUCUCAAACUCAGGCAGCAAAGACCCAAGCUGGAUCUGCGUCCACCCUGAAGCCCAACAACAAGGUGACCAGGAUGGUGGUGAUCUUUGUGCUGGGCUUCCUGACAUGAUACAUCCCGGCUUCGCUUUUGUACUUGUGAACAACCACCGUCAGUCUUUUGAUUUGAGAUUAGCUUCUAUGGUGUCUGUCUUUUCCAAGAUCCCCUGCAGUCUUUAACCUAGUUGUCUAUGUUGUCCUUGAUAAACAGGUCUUUAGGAUCUCCUGCCAAUUUUUGGCAAGCACAAAAGAACAGCAUGGACAUCACAUUGUAGCACAUUGUGUCUCCACAUUCUGGAAACUUGCAGUCUGUAGAAGUCCCUAGUGUUCCUUUCCAUAAUUAAAAGACCCCAAAUAUAAUAUAAACUAACAAACAGGUUUCAAUUAAAAUGUCUUAUUAAAGCAGCUACAAUGCAUCAAGAAACAAAUAAACUAAAUAAAGAUGCUGAGGAUGAGUAGAAAUAAGGAUGAAGAUUCCUCAACAUAAGUUGGACCUGCCUAGAGUGGAAAUGCAUGUGAUUAGGUUGAUUAUAAACUGCUGCUGACUGGCUGGGCAUAUGAUAGCUGUAUUUUGUUAAUAUUCACAUACACACCAAAUUGCUUAGGUUAUGCAAUUUUGUUUUUCCUGUAUGAAAUAGUCUAUAACGUUUUUGCCCAUUAAAAUGAUAUAAAGUAAAAAAAAUAAGAAAGUGUUGAGCAAGCUAGUUUAAUAAUUCUAUUUCCCUCCACUAACUUUCUUCCUCUUAAGUAUGCUUAUGCACAUCCUCCUCUGUAUCGGAUCGUUGGGACGACAACGAGCAAAUUCUGCGAUUAACCCGCCAGCUUAAAUCGUACCACAGAGUGUUACCAUAAAACCUUCAAUCUUGCAUGCUAGUGCAACAAAGACGCUCCCUUAAGCUCAGUGAAGGCAGCAAAAUGCCAAGGAGGUAACACAAAGCUUGAGUUAAAUCCCCAUGCAAAAUAGGGUGUAAUCCACUUAACAAGAGAUUAUCAAAUAUAAUGUGAUUGGAAACCAGAUUAGCAGGUGAAGACCGGCAGGGAACUUCCUUAGGAAAGAGGGAUUAACCUCUUUAACCAAGUUUGGAUGCCAAAAGCAUAUCGAGGUUUGCACAGAUUUUUGGAAGUCCAAAUAUGCUUGUGUUUGUUCCCAGAUUCAAAUACUUGUUAAUUCAGAUAUCUGCCAAAUAACCAAAUCUCAGAAUUUAGCAUCACAGCACACAACACAGAACUGGAAACCACAGAAGCA